rnacentral:rRNA from 1 species
GUGGGGAAUAUUGCACAAUGGGGGAAACCCUGAUGCAGCGACGCCGCGUGGAGGAAGAAGGUCUUCGGAUUGUAAACUCCUGUUGUUGAGGAAGAUAAUGACGGUACUCAACAAGGAAGUGACGGCUAACUACGUGCCAGCAGCCGCGGUAAAACGUAGGUCACAAGCGUUGUCCGGAAUUACUGGGUGUAAAGGGAGCGCAGGCGGGAAGACAAGUUGGAAGUGAAAUCCAUGGGCUCAACCCAUGAACUGCUUUCACAGCUGUUUUUCUUGAGUAGUGCAGAGGUAGGCGGAAUUCCCGGUGUAGCGGUGGAAUGCGUAGAUAUCGGGAGGAACACCAGUGGCGAAGGCGGCCUACUGGGCACCAACUGACGCUGAGGCUCGAAAGUGUGGGUAGCAAACAGGAUUAGAAACCCGGGUAGUCC